GUCUACGGCCAUGCCACCUUGAAUGUGCCCAGUCUCGUCUGAUCUCGGAAGCUAAGCAGGGUCGGGCCUGGUUAGUACGUGGAUGGGAGACCACCUAGGAAGACCAAGUGCUGUAGGUG
rnacentral:rRNA from 1 species